AUUGAACGCUGGCGGCAGGCUUAACACAUGCAAGUCGAGCGGAGCGGCGGACGGGUGAGUAAUGCCUAGGAAUCUGCCUGGUAGUGGGGGUUCACGUCCGGAAACGGGCGCUAAUACCGCAUACUAUCAGAUGAGCCUAGGUCGGAUUAGCUAGUUGGUGGGGUAAAGGCCUACCAAGGAGACGAUCCGUAACGGGUCUGAGAGGAUUAUCAGUCACUCUGGAACUGGGACACGGUCCAGACUCCUCCGUGAGGCAGCAGUGGGGAAUAUUGGACAAUGUGCGAAAGCCUGAUCCAGCCAUGCCGCGUGUGUGAAGAAGGUCUGCGGAUUGUAAAGCACUUUAAGUUGGGAGGCGUUACCAACAGAAUAAGCACCGGCUAUCUUCGUGCCAGCAGCCGCGGUAAUAC
rnacentral:rRNA from 1 species